UACGCGUGUCGACGGCAUCGGGUGGAACGCGGUGGCACAUUCAUUCAUGAUAUUCGUGAAUGCACAUGUUGCGCGCUCGCGCUCACGUCAACAUCUAUAUAGACAAGCAUCCAGCUUAGGUCCGAACUGAGUCUUGUUCCAUCCUAGAACCGGUGCAGACGUGUGUGCAGUGCAAUAUUGGUGCCGAUUUUGUGUCGAUUAUGAUAGUGAUGAAGAGUGGAAGCGAAAAUUUCGGUGCAUGUGAUUCAUCGUCCUCGUCGCCAGUUGAAAAUUAGAACGUUCGGGUAAAUCCACGUGGAUCGUUGUUGUGUGGGCACUUGCGUUAAACGAAGGUCAAGGUUUUUCAGAUCCCGGAGACAUUGGUUUAUCUUAUCUGUCGAGGCAAAUAAAUCACUGGCUUCCGGUGAUCGGUCAUCGAAGGAGCCCUUGAACGCGAAAAUCAGUAAAAAAGUAUGUGAACAAGUCUAAGUGGGCGCUGAUUACGACAAAUGGUGAAAUAGGCAUACUGUGACCUUUCUAGUUGUAAGCAAACAAAGCCAGUGGGUAGUUUUCAAUCCGCGAGUGAUUCACGUCAAUUUCUUCGAAUCCAUCAGAGCUAACUUACGAUUACUGUUAGCCGUUAAAAACCAUGAAUCAUCCUCCACCGCACAUAACCGAUGGGGAUUUCGUCAGCCCAAUGGAAUACGAUGAUGAUAAACACGGUCGUAUGACGCAUCAACUGAUGGGCUGCUACACUGCAUUCGCACUGAAACUCCUAUUUGGCGUCUUGCUGUUAUCUCGCGACUUGAUCCAUAUCGCUCAUUUGUCGCAAACAGCUAACUUUCUCGCCUACUGUGAACGCCGAUUGAUUGUCAAGAGUUGUCGUAGUUUACGGAACCGAAUCGACCGCCGAUACCAGCACCAAUGGAUUUCGUCGUCGUCGAACGAGAGCAAACAAUAAAUAAUACUGCUCACUCAUGGACUUAUUUCGCCGAAUUGCAUCAUUCAACGUGCGCGCGAAUGACGUCAAUUCGUCGUCGUGGACAGGGAAGCCAUAAGCUAAUCACUACAAAGGGCAGUUGGGGAUUUCCGCUGGAAACUGCGAAGAACACUGCAUGUGUACUUUGCACAUUUCUCGAAAGAUCGUGGGGUUUUUGUUAUCAUCUGCGAAUAGUAAACUGGUUAUAGUUGCAUGCCAAACCAGAAACUGCUGCAUCAACUGGGAUUUCCAAUGACGUAUUCGUCAUGGUUGUGGAAUUUCCGGAAUUUUGUACCCGGCGAUGUCGAAAUUCUUCGUAGCUAGCAAUUUGUAGCAGCCACAACUAAAACGAAAACAAUGAAACCACAUCAAAGCAACCAAAGACAAUAAGAAAUGUAAUAUAAAUUUGCGAAAACAACAUCAACAACAAGAGCAAUCCACAAUAAAACAGGACAGGCACGGACACGUUUACAACCUGCAAGUCAUUCCAUAA